rnacentral:tRNA from 1 species
GGGUUGAUAGCUCAAUGGUAGAGCAGUUGACUUUUAAUCAAUUGGUUCAGGGUUCGAGUCCCUGUCAACCCACCA